rnacentral:rRNA from 1 species
CCCUUAGAUGUUCUGGGCUGCACGCGCGCUACACUGAUGCGAUCGACAAGUUUUUCCUAUGUCGAUAGACACGGGUAAUCUUUUGAACUCGCAUCGUGAUGGGGAUAGAUUAUUGUAAUUAUUAAUCUUCAACGAGGAAUUCCUAGUAGGUGCAAAUCAUCAGUUUGCAUCGAUUACGUCCCUGCCCUUUGUACACACCGCCCGUCGCUGCUACCGAUUGGUUGAUCUGGUGAAUUAUUCGGACUGCCGGCUGAAGGGGUUUCCUCAUCUGCCAGCGGAAAGUCUUGUUAACCCUAUCAACUAGAGGAAGCAGAAGUCGUAACA